CUAGGAUAUUGUUUAUUAAGAUUUAUGUUAAGCUCAAUGUAAAGGUUAGGCAACAAAAGAUGUGAAAUCGCUUAUGCAAACAGCUACCAGACACCGCUUGCGUAAGAUAAGAUAACCACAAUCGCGAGAUAACCGCCAGACUUCCAGGAACCGACAGAAACAGGACAAACAACCCCAUAUAAGGACAUAUGAAUGAGGGGUCAACUAUGGGACAAAGGAGGAAGACUUCUUACUUCGGCCUCAACGACCACCAGGAGGCAGAAAACGACCCCCUAACAACAACUGAAGCAUGCGCAGAGUACCUCCACUACUUCAUGAACACGGAAGUAAAGAUGUAUAAAAAGGGACUGUUUGAACUGCUCAGAACGGCAGUUGGCGGAGCGCAGACUCCCCUGUCGUCCAGCGCUGUUUUUGCUCAUAUUCUACUUGCUAUAAUUAAUAAAAUUUUAAUUGGAUUAUGAUCCGUUGUGGUCUCAAUUUAUGACAAUUUCUGGUGCCGUGACUCGGAUAAGGAACGGUGGGCUUUGGUCCUCCGGGGAGGCGCCCCGCGACAUUUCGCGGCCCCGCGACCAACAGCUCACUCCAACCUUACCGACGAACCUAAAUUCUAGGAUAUUGAGCAAAAAAAAAAAGACCGGUAAAAUCCCAUAAAAUUCUGUGCACGGGAGUCCGGACGAAGACGCAGGACGCUUAAAGCUGCAAAGUGGGAAGCCUAUAUAAACAGGCAGAAAGCCCGAAACAGCUGUUCUCCUGAAGAAUUCCCUUGCUGCCGAGAAGAUGGUACACCCCGUGGCUCGAAGCAACCGAGUCGACGGGCGAGGCAGAGGAGGAACAAACUGUGGAGAAAAGAACCAGAACGAUGGGACACAAAAGCAGCAAUGGCCGAACUUCCCCAGGACUGGUAAAAACAUACUUAAAUUGGCAAAAUUGACAGACACCCUUUUUUCUGGUAUACCGUUAGUUUUGUUAUUGAUAAUAACCCAAGCAAAUGGAAACCCUCAUGAACCUAUGGCUUGGAAAUUAUAUAAUUUACCAGAGUCAAAAUUAAUUCAAAC